rnacentral:misc_RNA from 1 species
UUUCCGUAGGUGAACCUGCGGAAGGAUCAUUAUUGAAUAAACCUGAUGUGGUUGAAGCUGGCUCUCUCGGGAGCAUGUGCACGCCCGUCGUCUUUAUAUCUCCACCUGUGCACUUUUUGUAGACCUUGAUAUAACACCUUCCGAGGAAACUCGGUCGGGAGGAAUGCCGUGCGUCAAUGCCGGCUUUCCUUGAAUGUCCUGUCUAUGUUUUCACAUACCCCAAAGAAUGUAACAGAAUGUAUCAUUGGGCCUUGUGCCUAUAAACUAAAUACAACUUUCAGCAACGGAUCUCUUGGCUCUC